CCGGCCCCGCGCGUGCCCAGCCCGGUGCCGCCGGGCCGGCGCGGCCGUUGUGUGCUCGGGCACUGCAGCCGCGCCCGCGUGUCGGGGGAGGCGGGAGGACAGAGCUCCGGGACAGCCCAGCACAGCCCUGUGCGCCGUUCCUCGGCUUGGCUGACACAGCGUGGCCAGCGCAGUGUGACACCUGCUACAGCACCGCCUAAGAAAGCCCAGCAAUGGGUGAUGCACACAAACACGGUGGGGCGGGAGCUGAGCCCAACACCAGAUACUCCAGCAGCUUCUGCAGGAAGAUGAGAACGGGCCUGUUGGGUCUGUGGUGGAUGCAGAGCUGGGACACACCAGCAGAACCCAAAGCAACUUUAUCUGGCCUCAGAGCACCAGGGACAGAAGAAAACCAGACCCCUUCUCACCCGCUGUCCAAGGCAAUCCCCUGUCUAACACUAACCAGUUCAGGGACUAAAGAAUGGUGCUCCUGUGCCUGCAACUGUCCUACUGCAGUAGGUUAAAUCCUUGCCCGAAGAUCAGAAAUCAGCUUCAAGAAAUGUGUUACUCAUGUUACCCAGCUGUGGGACACAGGAAAUGUAACAGUGACAUCUGCUCAGGUCUCCUGAAAUACUUGGAAGCAAACAGGCUUUUUAUGCUGAGAGUCACCAGCCUCUAGUUUGGACCAACAUAUUUUCAUCUGAGUAAGGUUCUACAAAAGACAACAUGGAGUUUAGAGAAAGACAGGCCAGGCUUUCAGUGACUUUUAUGGAGGGUGAAAAGCCCCAAACAAGUGAACUAUCUAUGGACAGGAGGAGGACUCCCAAGUGACUUGUUUGGUCUCAGCAGCAGUGAUCUGCAAAGGUUGUGGUCUUCAAGUUACAGUUGUUUCCCAUGGGAUGGUGGGUUUGUCUGUAGCAGGAAAGGAAGGUGCAAGCCUCAGCAUGGGGAUGGUUCCCUUUGCUAUGAGAAAGGGUACAUGUGGCUUUCAAGGCCCCCCCAGAACUAGGAAAAUGCAGCCCUUGCACAGUGAAGAGCCAGUGACAAGGAUCCGCAAUGGCCCUUAAAACUUUCAGCCAAGAGUGGUGGUGAUGAUGAUAUCGCCAACAUCAACACCAUCUCCUUCCCACAGCCACACAGUAACAGUGCUUUGUUGUUACGUGACAUUCUGAACUCUGCAGGGUUUAAUUCUUGUUCCCAGACUCUGCUAUCAAGGACUGUAUUCCACCCUGCUGUUACCUCUGUACAUAAUUCCUGGGCUGAAUUUCAGCUAAGAGCUCAUUUCUCCUAUCCACACACCAGUGUCCCACUGGUUGCAGUUUGCCUGAGCUAGGGAGCUGGAAGAAAAGCACUGUCCUUUGCAGAAAAUAAAAGCACCUAGGCCCACACCACUGAAAACCGUUCCCCGUCAAGGCACCGAGAUGGUUAUCCCAGAGGCAGGGAUCAGAGCCACAGCGUUCCCAAGGAAAGCGCUGCCUGCCAAGGACACGCACUCUUGAGUCAGCAUUACCUGUCACAGGAUCAGCACAACAGGAGGCAUCAUGCCAGACCAAAAUCAGGCUAACAGGUCUCUCUACCCUUAUUUAAAAUAAAGACAGGCUAACAAAGGCUUGCUGAGCCUACCUGGGCAGCACACACUGAUCUGAGCUACAGCACGGGCACAGCAGUAAACAGGCAAGUUGGCUUCUGUUCCAAUGGAAACAUCAGACAAAGUUUAAUGGUUCUCAAACAGACUACAACAAAGGCUGCAGGGAAAAACAUUUUAUUUCCAAGCAGAUUACAAAGAGCAGAGAAUAUAAGAGUAAAAUUAAAUUAAAAAAAUAGUUGAGUGCAUCUCUUUAAAA